rnacentral:rRNA from 1 species
CCACGCACUCCUACGGGAGGCAGCAGUGGGGAAUAUUGCACAAUGGGCGCAAGCCUGAUGCAGCCAUGCCGCGUGUAUGAAGAAGGCCUUCGGGUUGUAAAGUACUUUCAGCAGUGAGGAAGGUGGGUAUGUUAAUAGCAUAUUCAUUUGACGUUAGCUGCAGAAGAAGCACCGGCUAACUCCGUGCCAGCAGCCGCGGUAAUACGGAGGGUGCGAGCGUUAAUCGGAAUUACUGGGCGUAAAGCGCAUGCAGGUGGUUUGUUAAGUCAGAUGUGAAAGCCCGGGGCUCAACCUCGGAAUUGCAUUUGAAACUGGCAAACUAGAGUACUGUAGAGGGGGUAGAAUUUCAGGUGUAGCGGUGAAAUGCGUAGAGAUCUGAAGGAAUACCGGUGGCGAAGGCGGCCCCCUGGACAGAUACUGACACUCAGAUGCGAAAGCGUGGGGAGCAAACAGGAUUAGAUACCCUGGUAG